rnacentral:misc_RNA from 1 species
GGGUCGAGCACUUCUUCCACCUCCUCUUCGCCAGCUAUACCGCUUCGUGCUGGAGAAGCUACCUCCGCUUCGUCCGAAGAUGAUGACUCGGAGUCCGAGUCGUGCGAGCAGCCGCCGCAGAGGUAUUUCUCCAACAUGCUCGUCCAGCCUUUCCCGUCCAGCGUCCGUACCCGACCCGCUAGAACGCCGGAUGCCGUUGGACCUGUAGGUUCAAGCAAGUCAGUCGCGAGGCCGUGCAGGAGGGACAGGAAACUCGUGCGCACACUCCUGACCGCACACGACGACGACGUGGUACGGGUGCCCCUUCGUCAACGGAAACUUCGGCACCUUCCCCUCCUCCUCGUUUCCCGCCGCUCCACCCGCGCUCUUCCCGCUCAAGAGCGAGCCAACCUUAGAGCUCCCACUACUCUGCCUCCUCCUCUUCCUCGACCGUCUCGCCUCCCCCCACGCCUGUCCCCACCCGACUCCUUCCAGCGAGCCCAAGAAGUCGCUCAAGUCGCCGUCGGGCUCGGGAAGGGACGAGGCCAUAUUGAACGUGCAGAUGCGGAUCUUGAGCGCGGGUCGUUGUGCGGAUGUGUCUGUUCGAGCGAGCGGGCGGGGGAGGGAGGAAGUGCGCGUGCGGGAGCGAGGGCGCGAGGAAGGUGCGGAUGAGGCGGGUGUGGAGAAGACGGAUGAAGCGCGCGAGUCUUUGCGUUGGUGCGCGUGCAAGGGCGUGGAAGAGUGGUUCGGGUGGACGAGCGAGUGUAGUCGGCGGAGGAAACGGCGUGGAGCAGGCUCGUGGUGCUUGAAGUGGUGAUGCGGUUUCGGCGCUGGGGAAGUUGCCCGUGAAGAGUCUGCGGGAAAGAGUUAGCUUCGCAAGCGAGUACAACACCUCGCCAGGACAGCAGGUACGCACAUUCUGACGGCGCCAAACUCGCCCGCUUCUCCACCUUCAAUCCCGCAACUUCUCCGUUCCGCACGUCCCCU